AACGUAGGACACAAGCGUUAUCCGGAGUUACUGGGCGUAAAGGGCGUGUAGGCGGACCUAUAAGUCUAUUCCUGAAAGCUCCUGGCUAAACUGGGAGAGGCGAAUGGAGACUGUAGAUCUAGAGUGAGGAAGAGGAAAGUGGAAUUCCGCGUGUAGUGGUGAAAUGCGUAGAGAUGCGGAGGAACACCAGUGGCGAAAGCACUCUGCUGGGCCGACACUGACACUGGAGAGACGAAAGCUAGGGGAGCGAAUGGG
rnacentral:rRNA from 1 species